UGAAAAAUGGUUCCAUGUACCUA
rnacentral:siRNA from 1 species